AUUGAACGCUGGCGGCAUGCUUUACACAUGCAAGUCGAACGGCAGCGCGGGGCAACCUGGCGGCGAGUGGCGAACGGGUGAGUAAUACAUCGGAACGUACCCAGAAGUGGGGGAUAACGUAGCGAAAGUUACGCUAAUACCGCAUACGUUCUACGGAAGAGAGUGGGGGACCUUCGGGCCUCAUGCUUUUGGAGCGGCCGAUGUCUGAUUAGCUAGUUGGUAGGGUAAAGGCCUACCAAGGCGACGAUCAGUAGCUGGUCUGAGAGGACGACCAGCCACACUGGGACUGAGAGACGGCCCAGACUCCUACGGGAGGCAGCAGUGGGGAAUUUUGGACAAUGGGCGCAAGCCUGAUCCAGCAAUGCCGCGUGAGUGAAGAAGGCCUUCGGGUUGUAAAGCUCUUUUGUCAGGGAAGAAACGGCUGAGGUUAAUACCUUCGGCUAAUGACGGUACCUGAAGAAUAAGCACCGGCUAACUACGUGCCAGCCGCCGCCGUAA
rnacentral:rRNA from 1 species